UCUAUGUGAUUAAAACACUACCCUUAAAUCAUGAUGCAGUUCAGAAAAAUGUGUAGUCAUAUUAACAAAUAAAUUCUUUAUAUCAGAUAUAGCUUUUUAACCUAACUUCCUGGUGGAAAAUACUGUGGUAAAUUACAGAAUUUAGAAAGCCAUGAAACAGGCAGAAGAAGCAUGUUGAGCAUGAUAAAGAAUAUGAGAGGUUUUUGUAACCAUUUUUUGUACCACUUCUAUGAUACCAUAUGGUCUGCUACUUCAAUAAAACGAAGGUUCACUGGCCUAAUUUUAAAUACAGAUUUGAAAAUCAUAAUGCAAAGUAUAAAAUGCUAAUGAAUGUAUUUAUUUAGGGGUACCUUUUAGAAGUUUGGACAACAUUACAAUUACUCAACACAUGACAUUUUGGCAUAAAGUCAGGAUAGACUCCUCAAAUGCAUAAAACACAAAUGCACCUGCUCAAGGUAGGAUAAAUAUUCAUACAGGAAGAUGAAGAGUCAAAAUAACAACUGUGCCUCUUCACCUGUACUUAUUUUAGCUCUACCCCAAAAUACAUUAAUUAGUGAAACAAUCCAACUGCUGAUGAACAACUGUGAGCUUCACAAACUGUCUCUGGACCUGCUAAACUGGACGUAAAAUAUUGUGUACACUGCUUCUAAGCAAAAAUUUAGAGGAGUGCAAUUUUAAUUUAACAACAUGGCUUUCCUUUAAGCACACUAAAACACACUCGAGCCACCGAAUAACCUUCAAUAAAAUCAAUAAGCAUUAAGAAUUGAAAUAGCUUCCAGACUGGGGACUACAGGGUACCAACACUCUCAAUUUGGCAAGGCCAGAGUGCUUAGCUGAAUAAGGAGUUCAAGAUAUACAUAAAGUUUAGCUGUAAAAUAUUUUAUCAAGUAAGGCCCAUAAUGAUGAAUUAAGUGAAAAUCAAGAAUGUUUCUAAUUUUUCUAAAGUACUUUUAGCUUAAAAUUAAUUAAAGUUCUUUCACAACAUAUUUAAUGGCAGAGAAUUUUUAAUUUUAUUUCUUCCCUUGCAAUCUCUUCAAUAGACUAUGAUUUUAAUUUUUGGUUCAUGUCUUGUAAAUUGAUCUAUGAAAAAUCAAAAGGGUUAAAGAAAUCAGUUGUAGCCUAAACAAAAAUCAAAUAUUAGCUUCUGAAGAGCAUUAGCUGGGAUUUUCUACAAUACAAAUUAUAACCUGCGGUAUUGAAUUACUUGCAAUAAAUAUAUUGAUAAAAUAUUUUCACUUUUAAAGUUUCCCUGAACAGUUUUCACGAAAUCUAGUGCCUAGUCCACAAAGUCCUUCAUCCUUAUUUAAAAUGAAUGUGGAUUUUGACACAUGUUCACAGAUGGUUGCCUAGGAAAUUUUAGCAUGCUUUGGACAUAACUGAAAAAAAGUUAUUCUUAGAAGCAUUUGCAAUUUCAGGUGGCUGUUACUUGAGAAGUACACAUGCAACAAGGUGAAAAGAAUAGCUUCAGUCACCACGGAUAUGUCAGUGUCUCCAUUACCCAGGUCAAAUUUAGCCAUAGUUUGCAUAAAGAGGAAGGGUGAUUCACCUUGGGUCAAAGAUUCAGUGCUCUGUAAAAGGGCAAAAUUUUCAUCAACCUUAUCUAUUGCUGGUGCUUGUCAUUGUGGGGAUCAAUUUAACUUUACAGCAUCCAAAGCAUCUUUUAUUCCUGUUUGCUGCCACAGCACAACUCCACACAAUUCCUUCAUUGAGUGCUCUUAGAUCCCCAGUGGGCACGUAAGACUCCCAGGGUAAUUGUGUAAUAGAAUAUAAUCUGACUGGCUGCAACCUACUGCAUUUCUGGCACACCACAACAAAAACAAAUCAAAAUAAAUCCCCAGCAUUCAAAAACUUCCUUCACUCUUCUACUCUGCAAAGCCUGAUCAUAGGAGACCUAAUGUUUUGUUUGUUGUUUUUUUUGUUUGUUUGUUUGUUUGUUUGUUUUUAAGAGGAACAAAAAGGAAAAGGAUAAAUGCGAAUAACAGGAAUAUCUACAGAAUGCUAACAAAAAUCAGAACAAAAAAUGAGUUGUCGGCAAGCACUCAGUACAAAAUUGAAUUCAUUGCAUGCAGAGUAAAGACUGAUUUAAAUUCACUCAUAAAAGCAGCAUUAAGGAGGAAUCUAGGUGCUCAGACAAGAAGUUCUGUUGUAAGAUAAAAUGCAAUACAAGGUUAUACCAUCCAAAGCCUCAGUUUUUUAUAUAUGUUUUUCUUUAGCUCACCUGGUAAAUCUGGCAAAGAGAAUUAGCUAUAUAAGCCAUCUACUCAACAUCCCCUCAAAGUCAAACAGAAUAAGCAGUUACAGCAGUUCUUCAUCAUAUGCUCUUUUUAAAAGUUAUUUCUUAUUUAUUUUUAUUGCAUACAAGUGGUUGCUGGUAUACAACAGCAAAUUGAAUAUGUUUUACAAAAACAGUUAUAGAUCUCAAUUUUUUUUUCAGUGAUUAAUAAUGUCUUCAUCCACCUUGUUUGCCACUUAAAAAGUGAGAUUUCAUGGGGUAGCUGAAGGAGAGAUGAUGAACACUUUAGCUCUAAAAAAACCCCUACAUGAGAGUCCUUGAUGUUUUGUCUUUGAAAUUAUUUAGGGGAGGGAGCUUAACAGUAAUAAAUUAUUCAGUAAAAUGUGCACAAUUAAAUGCCAUUUAGAAUAUUAUAACAUGGAUUUUCAAGCUUUCUUUUAAGAAGGUGUAGUCAUAGAAAAACAGGGCUAGCAAGCUAAGUCACUUUAAUGCAUUAAAAUUACUACCUUCAAAGGGAGGCUGUAGCUGUAAAUAACACAAUAUGAUGUUUUAUUUGAUUUGAUUUCAAACCUCAAGGUCUGUAUGUUCUCAUGCUGCACCCUGAAAUUUUGCAAACAUGAAUUUAUUUCCCACAUUCAGUGAGGCUGCCCAAGCAUUUGACUACAUAUUUAUACGGUUUUUGAGGAAAACACAUAAAUCAUCCAUCCACUGUUAGGUGACAGAAAAAUUAAAGGAAAUACUCACUGGUUUAGUAUCUAUCUAUCUAUAUAUAUAUAUAUAUAUGUGUGUGUGUGUACAUGUAUAAAUUUGUUUAUUUUUUUCACCUCCACCCCCAGUUCAGACACUUAAACCAAUUCAAGGACCUAGGUGAGAGUGGAAAGUUUGUUACAGAGACAACUGGUGUCUGAAUCAGCAGGAUACACAUCACUGUACUGCAAUCUAGAUGAGCUUUCAAGAUUAAGGCAAGUCUCUCUCACAAACAAGAGUAAGUCAUGUACUCAUUGUGGUGUUUUAAAGUACACAGUCUUGUCUUUAGUAUCUAAUUACAGCAUAUGUUUUGAGAUAAAGGUAUAAAUAAUGGGCUAUUUCCAUCUAAAUGUCCAGCUCUUCUAUUUGAGGCUGAGAACAAUCUCUCCUUACAGCAAUUAUUCUGGCUAUAUCCUCUUGUUAAAGAGAUAGAUCACCAAGACCACUUAAAAUGUUCUUAAUUUUUUGGGUGGAAUUGCAAGCAAAAUAGUGAAUUCUCAAUACAGAUUUUAGAAUGUGUAUUUCAAUACUGAUUACUGAGAGAGUUAGAAAAUUAUAAUGCAUCUUUUCAACUUCAAAUCAUUUCAGCUCUGAUGAAUCAUUGUGAAAUAUAAGAAUCACGCAGUUUUUUCUUAUAUAUUUGUGACUUGAUGAGUACUAGAAAUAAUAUUAUUUGAUGUGUACAAUGUGAAUACACAGGCUUGUAAAUACAAAUUGGUCAAUUCCAUCCUUUAAAAGAAAAAUUCAUAGUUUUUGCCUUACUUAUUUUCUAAGAUAUUUUAAAUAAGGAAAAAAAAUAUAAAAUCAAUCCUUGUCAUGGAUUCUAUGGUGUAUUAAAUAUUACACAGAAGACUUUUUUCACAUGCAACAUAUAUAUAAAAAAAAGCAGCUUAAUAAAUUCAAGAGGCACCUUAAUCAGAAGGCAAGUAAGGAAUAUGAAUGCCACAGCUAAGGAAACAAAAGCUGCUUGGUGCUAAAUGUAUCUCAUCCCAACAAAAGAAAUUCAGGAAAACUUCUCACAGAAAUUCAGGAAAACAACUCACAGACUUUAAAAACAUUUAAGAGUUCUGUCUUUUCAGAAUAUGAAAUUUUCCUUUACUGGAAUUCAUAAACUGCAUUCUUUCCCUCCAGGUGCACUACAUAGAGGUCAGUAUAACCCCAUAGCCCACCAAACAUAGUAUUGCAAAGACUAGGCCAUAUGUUUUGCACUGGUUUUGCAAGCACUCAGAAAUUAGCUUUGUCAGGAAUAACUUGUACUUUUCUUGACCUGCCUGGAACUUUGUUUUCGAUCGUUCAGCUAUAAAAGCCUGACUAGGUGUCUAUGACUGGUUUGCUUUAUUUUUGUACAGCUCUGUAUUAAAUAACUGUAAUCCUGUACAUACUCUUGCAACAAGUAGAACAAAAUAGUAAUGGCUCUGACAUAAUAGUGUAAAGCAGAGAAAUGCAGGUUUGUUAUGGCAGUGGAGGAUUUAAAAGCGGGUUGGAAACUGCGUGGAAUGUAGAGGAACCCAGGCAUGGGAUGGUAAGAGAAGUGACUCAGGGUUGGCUCUAGAGAGCCUAGACCUGUAAACUUAACUAUGGACAAUUAAAGGAAUGCAGAGUAACUAGGAAAAAAGCAAGAAGUGCCCAGUAUAUGCAACACACUUUCUAUAUACUAAAUUCAGCUUUAACAUGGACCUACAGACCUGCAAAGAAAGAGCAAAGUUUGCGUGGUGUGUUAGAAGAACAAGUAAAUGACCCAAACCAGCUCCUACAGUGAGGGGGAGGCAGUUACCAUUAACAUUAUAUUGCUCUUGUCAAUGCACUCAGGAUCCUGAAAACUUGCAUGUCCAACUGAAGAUAUCAACUGCAAGAGGCCAAGAAGCAGUAGAAGGGUGAAUAUAAAUGCAAGGAAAGGGGUAGAUAAAAAGAAGUCCAUGUUUAAUAAUUUUACUUUAUUACUAUUACUGAUUCUUCCACAAUAAAAAAGAGUUUGUUAAUUUGUUUUUUCUUUAUUUUCCUUUCAUUUCCUAAAUUCCUUUAUUUGAAGGAAUAAAUAUUCUUCAAAUAGCUAUUUAAGAUUUAAAUUACCCAAAGAAAAAAUACUUAGUGUACAUAUAUAAGAUUUGCAGGAUUUUUGCCUUUAGGAAGAUAGAAACUUAAGUUUAGAUCCCUGAAAAAUGGUACUGAAAGAUUUUUUUAGUGUUUCAUCACAAGGAAAUAACCCUCUAGUUCAGUUAAACUCAUGCAACCUGAUGUUCAUUUGGAACAGUUUCUCCUACAAUCUUCUACACAUUGUUUUUUCUUCUACAUACCCUUCUUUCCAAUUUGUAUGUACCAACCUUUGCAUUUAAAAAAAAUUCGCAGGGCUAUAUAUAUUUGUUCAGGCAUUUGAAGGAAAAAGACUUUUAUGACUUUCUGUCUACGUCUAAGAUAUUUAAUCCUAACAGAAUGCUAUUGGAAUAACAGUUUUUAUUUCAGUUUCAAGUAACAUGGAAUGGAAGAAACACUUGAUAUAAUGCAUUUAUUUCUAUAACAACCUACUCUGACAAAGCUUCAUUAUACUUCAGGCUAUCAACUGGAGCAUCUGUUCACAUAUCCCUUAAACUGUAAAGUGGGCAAUGCAUCAGCACAAAGUGCAUGUUAAAACACCAGAGUGAUAUUAGGAUCAUCCCUUCUCAAGUGAAAAUGAAUACUUUUAGCCAAACUUUUGCAUAUGUCCUUUCCAAAAAACAAAACAAAAAAAGAGGGAGUGUAUACCCCACAUAUUACCAGAAUAUAUUGGCUGCUACCUGCAAAAAAGUAGCAUGUAAGUGAAAACAUUAGAAGAGACUACACAGAAUAUGGUUUCCCCACGGAAAUGUUUCUGCAGGACAAGCAGCCUGUAGGCAAAGUAGGUUGAAGCUAUUCCAGCACCAGGUAAAAACUUUCAAGCUGAAGGCAUCCGAAAAAUCCCCUCAUUUUCACUUUUUUGCACACAUGUUACAGCUACUUCAAGCAGAUCUCAAAAUCUGAAAGACUAUGGGCUUUGAUUGAAACAAGUGCUAUUUCCUUACUAACUGUGCGAAUUCAGCAAAAUGGUAAAGCUGAGCUGAAUCAUCAUGCAAAUCUGUGAGAAGCUUUAAAAUACUAGCUGCAAAAUGAAAACACAUUUUAUAUUUAUUUGUAAAGCCAAGAGACUAAAAAUUUGAACCUUACAUCUGCUGAACUUUACAAUAUACUACAGAGCAAGAAUAAUAUUAUUAAAAAUUUUUAAAUUAACCCUAAACCUAGUAGGAGGCACAGUCACAACUAUUUGGAAUAGAAUUGACUAUCCCUUAUGUCACAUUAUUAUAAUGUACAGAAAAUACACAUUUCCUGAUAGAGCCAUCAGUUAUGUUUAUGUUCCAGUACAAGACACAUUCACAACAUGCUUCAUUAAAAAGCAGCUUGCAAGAGAAACAGGCACACAGCUUGCAUCAGAAUUCUAGCUGCAGAGGACCCUAAAAAUAUCUACAAUUGCACUUCCAGCUUCAUGUUUAGUUUUCAAUCUCCUAUAAACCAAAGCACCUGAAUAAUAACAUGAAGUUGGCCACUGUUCUGAAACCCAUUGACCACCUUUUCUCACAAGAGAGCAAAUGUGGUUGAAGCUAUACAACCACAUUCAAGUGUUGUCCCAAAACAGACUGCUACAUGCAACCAGCAAGCUCCAGACAAGUUCUGCAGCUUUCAAACCAUGCAAAAAACUGAUAAAUACUCUCAGCCUUCCAAAUGUCAGAGAGCAUCCAACCAUAACUCCGGAGACAAGAUAUCCUUGUUGAAGAUACUCCAGAAAACAAUUCAGAGGAAUUGAACUGUCUUCUACCUGAAACUGAUCCACAGAAUUCCUUCUUCACCAACAGCACAAAGAGAUAAGCCUUCCUUGACUUUUCUUCCUGGAAACUAUCUGCAUAGGCUUUACUUCAGUAGGGAAAUAUGCCUAGAAGAUUCAAGAUAAGCAUCUUCCAUUGCUGCAAAUUGUUGGUCCAAAAGUUGUGACUGACCAGAAGGCACUGUGGUUACAGGCCGGCAUUUCAAGGGUUGUGAUUGUGUACUGAGCUGCUGAGCAGGCUGGAAACAAUGAGGAUGCAUACAUCUGGUAGCACUUGACCCCAAACUCCUUUGUCUGCUAUUUCCUGUCUGCUAUAUGUCUCACUGAAUACCCAAAAUCAAGAAUCAAAACAGUUCAACAGAGAAGGAAGAGAGAAAUAGCACCCAAAAUUUUUUAAAGGUAAGAAAAAAACUAAAGUAAGAGCAGUUAAGGGGUCAGUUAACAAUUUUUCUGAUCAAAAUUAUGGCAAACUUUUUAUUUUGGUUCCAGGAAAAUGAAUUAAAAUGUGGUGAGAUUUGAUGUAGAUGAGUUGUUGUCUACAGGAGGACUCAUUACUUCAGUAAGCCUGAGGACAAGAAGCUUAAGGACAUCUAUGGAUUAUAUUUCCUGCAACACAGAGUGUGGGAUUGAGUGCAAAUUUGCUGAUGACACCAAGGUUGUGGUCUCGUUGAGAUGCUGGAGGGAAGGGAUGCCAUCCAGGUGGACCUUGACAGGCAGAAGUUGGCCCAUGUGAACUUCAUGAAGCUGAACAAGGCAAAGUACAAGGUGCUGCAUCUGGGUCAGAGCAAUUCCAAGCUCAAAUAUGGUCUGGGUAGAGAACGGAUUGACAAAAGCCCAGAGAAGAUGGACUUGUGGAUGUUGGUUAAUGAGAGGCUCAAAAUGAGCUGGCAAUGUGUUUUCAGCCCAGAAAGCCAAUCAUGUCCUGGGCUGCAUCAAAAGUAGCAUGGCUAGCAGGGUGAGGGAGGUGUUAUUCUCCUCCUCCUCUUCUCUCCUGAGACCCCGCCUGGGGGGCUGCAUACAGCUCUGGGUUCCCCAGCAUAAGAAGGAUGUGAACCUGCUGAAGCAAGAUCAGAAGAGGGCCACAAGAGAUGAUCAGAGGGCUGGAACUCUUAAUCUGUGAGGACAGCUUGAGGCAGUUGGGGUUGUUCAGCCUGGAGAAGAGCAGAUUCCAAGGAGACCUUAUAGCACCCUUCCACUACCUUGUAGGUCCCUUAAGGGGACCUACAAGAAUGCAGGAGGGACUUGUCGCAAGGACAUAUAGCAACAAGACAUGGGGCAAUGUUUUUAAACUAGAAGAUAGGUUUAGACAGAUAUUAGGAAGAAAUACUUUACUGUGAGGGUACUGGAAUAGAUUUCCCUGAAAAGCUGAGAAUGUCCCAUUUCUGAAAGUGUUCAAGGCCAGGUUGGAGGGGGAUUGAGACACCUGGCCCAAUCCCCAUUGGGAUUGGAAACUCCCUGCCCAUGGCAGAGGUGUUGGAAGGAGAUGUUCUUCAAGGUCCCUUCCAAGCCAGGAGUUCUAUGAUUCUAUGAUCAAAGACAUAGCAUGUCCAAAUUCUAAUGGCUGCAAACACCCAAGAAACUAAAUACAUCUCUGAAAUUCCCCUUGUAUUGUGUGUAGGUGGCAAGAUUUUGGGCAACAUGAGGGCUACAGGGAUGGCUGCUUUGACAGGAGAUCAGAAUGAGUCUUGUCCCAGGCUCAGCUGGUUUCAGCCUUCUCCACAAUGGACCCACAACUAUCAGAGUAUAUUUAAAGAGAUGAGAGAACGGAGAAAGUGUGAGAAACGAUCCUGCAAGCAACAAGGUCUGACAAGGAGAGUGAGAAUGCGCUCCACGUGAUGUACCAGACAGUCCUUUGUAACUCUUGCUGCAACAAAUUGCCCAUGUACUUGACUACAUUAGAAUAAAUGUCCAUCUUGCAGCCCUCAAAAGAUUUCUUUUUAAGAUUAAGAUAUAAAAGAAUGUAUAUUUUGUGAAUAUAUUUUCAGAUUCCCAAACCUACUAUUUAUUAGUCAUAAUGCCUCACAAUGGUCAAAGUUGCUUUCUAAUGCAAGAUUCAUGAUGGUUUUGAGUUAAAUUAUUUUACUUCCUGGAGUUCUGAAUACCAGAGAUAUAUAGGACAAGUUAGGAAGAUUUAUUUGCUAUCAAAUAUCAUCGUCUAAUGCAAAAAUGUAUAUAUGAGGAGAUUAGAGGAUUGGACUCAAAGCAAAAGGAAGAGAUAACCCUACUAUUAUGUCUUUUAUCAAGAAUUACCUUUAGAUUUUUCACACUCUUUUUUUCUUGUUAAAUAACAAAUAAUUUCUGUACAUAGAUGUACAAAUGUGAACAGGUAUAGAUGCAUAAGAUAAAUGCUUAAGUGCUUUCAUUAAAAGCAUACACAUGGAUCUAGCCCUUGAGACAGCAUGCUGAGCAUCUGGAAUUCAGAUUACAGCAAACACUUUUGAUUAUUUGCAUGUACAAAGCUACAUUUGGCAGUACAUUUUAACUUCUUAUAGUUAAGUGAGGCUCAGGUGAGAGAUUAUUCUGAAUGCUAAGAUGUCAUUGAAGAAUGUUAGUUCUCUGACAAUAAAGAGAUUGACUCUUGA